rnacentral:rRNA from 1 species
UACGUAGGGUGCGAGCGUUGUCCGGAAUUAUUGGGCGUAAAGAGCUUGUAGGCGGUUUGUCGCGUCUGCUGUGAAAAUCCGGGGCUCAACCCCGGACUUGCAGUGGGUACGGGCAGACUAGAGUGCGGUAGGGAGAUUGGAAUUCCUGGUGUAGCGGUGGAAUGCGCAGAUAUCAGGAGGAACACCCGUGGCGAAGGCGGCUCUCUGGGACGGUACUGGACGCUGAGACGCGAAAGCGUGGGGAGCGAACAGG